rnacentral:lncRNA from 10 species
GAAUCUUUAUUUUCAGAUUGAUUUUUUUUAAUAAUCAACAAAGUUUUAUUAUCUUCACAAAAUUGUAUCUGCUGUUUCCACUCGGGGUAGAAGAAGGAAACUAUUGUUUGUGCUUAUCUAAUUUGCACACACUUUCCUGUAUCACUUUUUUAUUUUUAUUUAUUUAUUUAUUUUGAGACAGGGUCUCACUCUGCUGGAGCGCAGUGGUGCCAUCAUAGCUGACUGCAGCCUCGAACUCCUGGGCUCAAGCGACCCUCCCACCUCAGCCUUCUGACUAGCUGGAACUACAGGCAUGUGCCACCAUGCCCAGCUAAUUUUUUUUUUUUUUUUUUUUUUUGAGACAGAGUCUCACUCUAUUGCCCAGGCUGGAGUGCAGCGGUGCAAUCUUGGCUCACUGCAACCUCUACCUCACAGGUUCAAGCAAUUCUCGUGCCUCAGCCUCCCGAGUAGCUGGGACUACAGGGCGUGCGCCACCACCCCCAGCUAAUUUUGUUUGUAUUUUUAGUAGAGACAGGGUUUCGCCAUGUUGGCUAGGCUGGUCUCAAACUCCUGACCUCAGGUGAUCCAUUCGUCUCGGCCUCCCAAGGUGCUGGAAUUACAGGUGUGAGCCACAGCUCCUGGCCUUAAUUUUUUGUAUAUUUUGUAGAGACGGGUUUUUGCCAUGUUGCCUAGGUUGUUUCUGAACUCCUGGACUCAAGCUAUCCACCCACCUCAGCCUCCCAAAAUGCUGGGAUUACAGGUGUGAGUCACUGUGAUUGGCCCAAGUAUCAUCCCAUUUUAAUUCAUCGCUCAGGAUAGAAUAAUCCUAUCAUUAUUCCUUGUUACAGAGGUAGGCCCACAGAAAUUGCAAAUAUUGCCCACGUUAUUUCUAAGUGGCAGAUAAGUAGGAGAGCCCUGAUCUGAACUGUGGUCAGCUCAGGCUCCUUCCAAAACUCUGAGACUUCUGGACCUGACACUCCAAACUGAGAGAAUCUGAGCAAGUUACUCAUUCUGCCUGAGCCUCAGUUUCCUCUAUAGGAUGGGAAAGCAAUGCCUUCUCCAGCAUUCUUCCUUUAGCGGCAUGGGUAUGGAAUAGAACUUGAGUCUGAAGAAUGGUAGACAGUUCUGGUAUCCUGUGCACCUCAUUUGAGACCUCUGUGCCCCUGUCUUGCCAGGCUGCCCACGUUAUUUUGAGUGGGCAACUCAAGUUCUAAGGAUUGAAAUAGUUUUUUUUUUUAAUUAUAAAAUGCAAAAGGCAGGAAGAAGUUAGGGCAUUGGGGUGCCAGAGAGGUUACAUUUAAAUAACAAGUAUUUAAUGAGUGUCUACUAAGUGCCUUCACUGUGUUAGUUUGUGGGGAUACUAAAAUAAGCAAAACGCACAGGGCCCAGCUACCCUAGAGGGCUUAGACAAAGAGCAGGCAUGCGAGGAUUUCUACGUGGAAGCUGCAUUUGAAAUGAGGUUUUAGCCAUUAUCCUCCAUGAAAGACAGCUUCCUAAACUGAUAUCUUAUUCCGUCUUCAAGGAAGGAAGGAAAAGCAUGUUUUUCUUAACCUGCUCUAACAAUCUUAGGCAUCCAUCCCCACUCCCUGUUCUCCCCAAUACAGAUCAUCCUUAUCACAUACAAUGCUUUUCAGCCUCCUGAAUAUUCUUGGUUUAGAUAUGAGCCUCAAAUUAGAUGGAUCAGAGUAAAAAUGCUUGAGGAUGAAUUCUUUAUCAUUCUACUGUUUAUGGACAGCCCUACUGCAUAGAAAUGCACUGCUGGCUGAUAACCCAACUGUCUGGCUGCAGAUUGUGGUUUUACUGUGAGUAGGAAGGGGAAGAGAGCAGGGCGAGGUAGCUGCUGCAAAAGAGGAGCAGAGUGAGUACACAGAACCCCAGCCCCCAGGGUUCCCGGCUCAUCUGCAGCCUGAUCUCAAAUCCUUCCAACCUGCCACAGCUCAAAAGGGGAACACUUUUCCAUAAAAAGCCAUGCCUUUUGGUUUGAAUGUUUCUCCAACACACGCUGUCUCUAAAGUGCUUGGUUUUCUCUGCUCACCGACUUUGAUUCACCUUACACAGUUCUGCGCACGACUACAUUUUACUAAAGCUUAAGUGAAUUCGAAAGAGUUUCUUACCCAAUGUCGUUGGGUAUUGGGGUUGGUGGGAACAUAAAAGAACCUUUUCUGAGGAGGAGGACUGAGGUUGGAACCAGUGAUGCACAUCCCAAACGGCUACAAAAUGCCAGGAAGUCUUUAGAGAACUGAGAAAAACCAAAACCAAACAGGGCUUAGAAAACCUGGAAAGGGCCGGACGUGGUGGCCCACGCCUGCAAUCCCAGGGCUUUGGGAAGCCAAGGUGGGCAGAUGGCUUGAGCUCAGGAGUUCAAGACCAGCCUGCACAACAUGGCGAAACCUUGUCUCUACUAAAAAUACAAAAAUUUAGCUGUGUGUGGUGGUGUGUGCCUGUGGUCCCAGCUCGGGAAGCUGAGGCGGGAGCAUCACCUUGAGCCCCGGAGGUUGAGGCUGCUGUGAGCCAUGAUAGCCAUGACAGAGUGCUCCUCCACACUCCAGCUUGAGUGACAGAGCGAGACCUCAUCUCUAAAAAAAAUUUAAAAAAAGAAAAGAAAAGAAAACCUGGAAAGACAAUGAUGAGAAGCAGCAGUUGGGAGCAGAGAAGAGAAAGUGAUCAGGAGAAAUGCAGAAGAGACAGAGACCAUUAUGAGGGUCUCCUGGAUUUUUAUGGCCGUCUCAGCUUCAUUCUAGAGCAAGAAUAGAUGGACUUCAGUAGAAUUGGCCAUGGCCAUGGAAAGGAUUUUGGAUUUUAUUUUAGGGUUCAUUGGAUUGGAUGUUGGGAGUCGAGGAGAAGGAGGACUCAAGGACGUCAAGUUGAGCAACCGAUGGUGCCAUUUAUGGAGAGGAAGGCCAGGGUCAAGAGAAUCUAAAAAAUGUCAUUUUGCCAUUGUAAAUUUGAGUUGUGUUUGGAUGCAGGAGUCUGAAACUCAGAGGAGAGGUUCGAAUUGGAGAAACGAAUUUGGGAGUUGCCGACACAUAGAUUCUUAACGCCAUAGGAAUGGAGGUAAUCAUCCAGGAAGACAGUCCUUCUCAUAACCUGCGUUUUAAAAGGGAGAAAAUUGAAGCUGGGAGAGGUCCAAAAGCUUGUUAAAUAGACCCAUUUUGCCACCAGUGAAUGAUGGAACCAAGAUUCAAACCAGGGGCCACAGUGGGUAUAGAGUAGCUACUAUUAUUGCUGUUGUUG